GUACUUGUAGCUCAAAUAUAUAAAGCACCAGCCUUGUAAGCUGAAGACUGGGGGUUCAACUCCCCCCAUGUACA
rnacentral:tRNA from 1 species